GCUAGAGUGCAGGAGAGGGAAGCGGAAUUCCUAGUGUAGCGGUGAAAUGCGUAGAUAUUAGGAGGAACACCAGUGGCGAAGGCGGCUUUCUGGACUGUAACUGACACUGAGGCACGAAAGCGUGGGGAGCAAACAGGAUUAGAUAUCCUGGUAGUCCACGCUGUAAACGAUGAAUACUAGGUGUAGGGGGUAUGAACUCCCCCUGUGCCGGAGCUAACGCAAUAAGUAUUCCGCCUGGGGAGUACGGCCGCAAGGUUGAAACUCAAAGGAAUCGACGGGGGCCCGCACAAGCAGCGGAGCAUGUGGUUUAAUUCGAAGCAACGUGAAGAACCUUACCAAGGCUUGACAUCUGCCUAAACUCAUGGAAACAUGAGGUCCCUUCGGGGGAGGCAAGACAGGUGGUGCAUGGUUGUCGUCAGCUCGUGUCGUGAGAUGUUGGGUUAAGUCCAGCAACGAGCGCAACCCCUAUUGCCAGUUACCAGCACGUAAAGGUGGGAAUUUUGGUGAGACUGCCGGGGACAACUCGGAGGAAGGUGGGGACGACGUCAAAUCAUCAUGCCCCUUAUGUCUUGGGCUACACACGUGCUACAAUGGCUGUAACAAAGGGAAGCGAAAGCGUAAGCUGGAGCGGAUCUCAUAAAAGCAGUCCCAGUUCGGAUUGUGGGCUGCAACCCGCCCACAUGAAGUCGGAGUUGCUAGUAAUCGCGGAUCAGCAUGCCGCGGUGAAUACGUU
rnacentral:rRNA from 1 species